UUUAAUGGCCGCAGUAAUUUGACUGUGCAAAGGUAGCAUAAUCAUUAGUUUUUUAAUUAAAAGCUAGAAUGAAUGGUUGGACGAAAUAAAAUCUGUCUCUAAAUAAUAAAUAAAAAUUAAUUUUUAAGUUAAAAAGCUUAAAUUAUUAUAAAAGACGAGAAGACCCUAUAGAUUUUUAUAUUAUAAAUUUUAAUUUUAAUUUAGAAAAUUUUAUUAAUUAUAAUUUAUAUUAUUUUAUUGGGGUAAUAGAAAGAUUAACUGAAUUCUUUUUUAAAAUUUUCAAUAAUUUUUGUUUUUUUGAUCCUUUAUUAAAGAUUAUAAGAUUAAGUUACCUUAGGGAUAACAGCGUAAUUUUUUUAGAGAGUUCUUAUCGAUAAAAAAGUUUGCGACCUCGAUGUUGGAUUAAAAAUUAUUUUAGGUGUAGUAGUUUAAAAGUUUGGUCUGUUCGACCAUUAAAUUUUUACAUGAUCUGAGUUCAGACCGGUGUAAGCCAGGUCGGUUUCUAUCUUUAUUAGGUUAAUAUAUUUUAGUACGAAAGGACCAAAUAUUAAAUAUAUAAAUAUUUAAAUGUUGAAUAAUAUUAUUAUUUUGGCAGAUUAGUGCAAUGAAUUUAGAAUUCAUUUAUGUAAAUUUUUACAGAUAAUAUUGUUUUAUUUAGAUUUAUUAAUUUUAUUUAUUAGAUUAUUGUUAUUAAUUGUUUGUGUAUUAUUAGGGGUUGCUUUUUUAACUUUG
rnacentral:rRNA from 1 species